CGAGCUUCCAUACCGGUAACAGUGCCAGAGCCACUCGCCCCGCGCGCGUGUUUCAGUGUCGCACGCGUGUAGUCCGACCGUCGCUCCUCAGCACCUAAAUCCAUAUUUCUUUAUCAAAUGGUAUUUCAAAAAAUCUAAAAAAAAAAAAAAAAAAAAAAAUCUCACCCA
rnacentral:lncRNA from 1 species